AUGCCCCUGGUGAAGUUAGAAGGAUCUGAAACCUAUGCAAGUUGGGCAGAGCAUGCGGAGACUAUUCUUGUGUCAAGAAGGCUAGAGGGCUAUAUUCUUGGGGCAAUUGAAAAACCAGCAGAUGAGAACUCUAAGGAAGGUCAAAAGUGGAAGAUGACCAACGCAUUAGUGAGAGCAUGGCUGUUGAGUUCAGUUUCACCUAAAAUUGCUAAACAAGUGGAAAGGAUUAAGGAAGCAUCAGAAAUUUGGCGGCUGCUGAAAGGCACAUAUUCUGGAGUCGGCAAUGAGAUGCUUGCUUGUAGAAUUCAGAGGGAGUUGCAAGGGUUGAGUCACGGUGAUAAAUCAGUUGUGGAGUAUGUGUCUGAGUUGAAGAGAUUGUGGAGUGACAUUGACUAUUUUGACCCAGUUGAGAUGGAGUGUGGCAAGUGUAUUGAGAAAUUUAACAAAUGGACAGAAAGGAGACGUGUAAGGGACUUCCUAAAUGGACUUCAUCCUAAGUUUGAAAACAGGAGGGCUGCACUCUAUGGUAGUGGAAAGCUGCCUACACUCGAGCAGGCAAUCUCAGCUAUUAUCAAGGAAGAUAAGGAAGAAGAAGAUGAUGAAACAUCAGGAAAGAUGAUAAUUGGGGUAAUUCCAGCAGAAACAAGACAAGAACAAAGACAGGGGGAGCCGUAUGAUACAUCGAAUGAAGCACUCCGGUGGCCAAGACCAAAUGAGGAAAGGGAGAUUCAGGUGUAUACACGAAGACAACGUACCACAGAGGAGCAAAUGCAAGUGCUGGAACUCGAACCAGAGGCUUAUGGACAACACCGGGAGCAAGAGCAGGAGGCUGACCACCAGGAUGAUACGCAAGAACCAGGUUAUGUCUUCAUCAAGGAACUCGCAGUUAUGAUCCAUGAUAACAGGUACAAGUAUGUAGCAUCAAGCCUGUUGCGGUGUAUGUGUGUGUAUGAUCAAAGUGAGUUUCACAACUCAAACCUGAAAGAAGUCUCCUACAUUUUGCAAGAGGUGAUGGAUGGAAUAAUAGAUGCAGAAGGUGCGGAACUAGAGAUCCUUGUUGGCCUUAGUUCACAAAUAUGUAAUGCCAUUCCUGAAGACUUUGUGCGAGAGCUUGAGCAUAGUCAGAAUAAGGAAAGGAGGGUGAUAGUUGAACAUGCCAUAUACAUGAUGGAAUUCAUUCCGGUCUACACUAGCUGUUUCAAGAACAAUCGGAUGAUGGAAGCACUGCUGAUGGUAGAGCAUACACCUUCAAGGGCUGAAAACUACAGGUUCUUCUCGGGUGACGCAGGACUCAUGGAGCACAGCAUACCUCUAUCCACACUUGUGGCUAGAGCGAAAGAACUGAUGGACCAUAGCAUUCGGUUAACUGGAGAUGUAUAUAUACAGGAUGUCUGCGGAUAUACUUUAGGGGAGAAUCCCGAGAACACCGGAUUCACCAACAAGGCACCAAGCAGCUGUAGAUUGCGGGCUCACUGGAGUCGAGUCGACGACCCGUGCGUGUGUGGCAGUGUUCGUUUCGCUCCUGCUGUAAUGGCGAACGUCGCCGAGCACCGCGUACAGAUGCCGGUGGAUCCCCCAGCUAACAAGGCCGCCACCGCGCCGGAGAUGGGGCUUAAUCGCUUCGUUCGCUUCGUUGUGCUGAUCGAGAGGCUUGGCAAUGCCUUGGGCACGCUGGCCUUCACCUGGGCCACCGUUGUCCUACUCGGCGGCUACUCCAGUGACCUCGACAGUGAUUUCGGGGUCUCGACGGCCAUAAUUUUCCUAGAAGCCUUGAGGAUGUUCAGCUACAACAACAGGGUGGAUUACCAAUUGUUCUUCCGCACAAGAGGUGCUUUCAGGGCCCAUGAAGAUGUCAACAUUCAAAGACUCAGCUCAACUGCCAACUUCACAGUAUACUUGGUAGUACUUGUCGUAGUGCUUCUACUCACAAUCAGCAGGCUGCGGUUCCCAAGUACCAUCAAGCUAGCAGAGUGGGCUUUUGGCAGCAAAAUAGCAUUUUGUCAUCGAGUAGUUAUUCCGAACUUGUGCAUGUUUGCUGCGACAGUGAUGUCGGUGAUGAAUUUUCCUGGAAGCUUUAGACUUGAUAUUAUCACACUACACGCAAUUGCUCUAACGAUAAUGUCAUUUGGCAACCUCCAGAUCCCAGCAGCAGUACUACGCAUUGGGCUGGCAAUGUGGCGCCUUAAAUUUAUACCACGAGACUACUAUGGUGAUGAUAAACACGAGGACAAGAAAAACCUUGUGUCAUCUCUCCAAAUAUUUUAUGUGAUAGUGCUUGGCCAAGGAAUACUCUAUACUAUUGCCGGCAUCCUUGAGAUCUUCUCAUUCAUCCUACGAAGAUCCCUGAUCCGUCGCGCUGGAUUUAGAGGUCUCCCAGGAGUGGAAUAUGUCAAUUUGUACUACGCAUAUGCUUUCGACAGAUGCAUGGAGCGUGCUAUACUUGCCCAAGAGAAGACCAAUCUCAUCAUAUUUGCAAUGGAUUCUUUAAAGUCAGACUCAGCCAAGAUGCAACUCCAUGGGCUUAAGAUGCUACACAGCUUUCUGAAAAAGGAGCCCCUAAAGGCUCAAGCCAUAUCCGAACUCACCACUUACACGAAGACAGUGACCUGCUUGAUCAACAUGUUGGGCAGGACAAGUGAAGUGGACAAGGAUAUUAGAUCAUCUGCCGCGAAGGUCACGGCCGAGCUCGCUGAUUACCUUCUAGUUGUCCCUAUCCCCGGGGCGAUGAAGCUCAUAGCCUCACUUUUGGACACUGUUCAUGGAGAGAAUAUAAAGGAUCCUCUUUUGGGCAUUGGUAGCCCUGAGCCAAAACAAGAUAACCUGAUUCAGCAAGUUGGCAGGAAUGAGCAGACUUUCCCAGUGCUUAAAUGGUUGAAACAGAUGGCACUAUACUGUUUGAUUCCGAGAGAGGAGCCAACUAGCAUGGAUGAACAAACCACCCAUUUACUCAGAUGUUGGAGAAGGCUUACAAAACAUUGGUCUGUUCCAGAGGAGGAGCCAUCGACCGAACAGGAUCUCCUCCCUGUACAGGGAAUGUUGAUUCUUGAAAAGCUUGCUAGCUUUGAUCUGGAGAACUGUAUAGAAAUCAGCAGAGGAAGUGGUCUCAUCUCAAAGAUUGUAGAGUUCACAAGCAACAGAACUGACAUGACAAGUAUUGAUGAGACACACCAAACGUUGAAACGUUCAUCAUUGAAGCUGCUAACAAGACUUGCAAGUACUAAAAUGAAACUUGGUGUAACUUUGCGUCAGAAGAUGAUAGCACAUCCCUUCCUUUUGAGCAACCUUGCAGAAAUAUUGGAUAACAUUGGGAGCAGCCAAGAACUUAAGGAGCUCACAGCAGAACUCGUUAGAAACCUCGCUAUGGAGGGAAAUGUGAAGGAGAUCGGACACAUCCCAAUGAUCAUUAGCAGGCUGAUGGAUGCAUUUCUCAGUGAAAGUGCACGCUCAAGUACAGAUUCGGAUCAGUUGCUACGAAUGAUCGCUGGGCAAGCACUAGCACUACUGGCAAUGGAGAGUGUCAAUAACUGUUUGCUUAUGUUAGCAGAACCAGGGUAUGUGUUCAUAAAGGAACUCACAGUUAUGAUCCAUGGUGAUAAGUACAGGUACAUAGCAUCAAGCCUGUUGCGGAGUAUGUUUGCGCAUGCUCGGCCAGAGCUUGGCAACUCGGACCUGGACGAAGUCUCCUACAUUUUGCGAGAGGUACUAGAAGGAAUAAUGAAUGCGGAAGGGAGAGAACUAGAGGUCCUUGUUGGCCUUAGUUCACAAAUAUGUAAUGUCAUUCCAGAAGACUUUGUGCGAGGGCUAGAGCAUAAUCAGAUAAAGGACAGUUUUAUAAAGAGGCUUCACAGCAUGGCGAACGUCGCCGAGCACGGCGUGCAGAUGCCGGCGGAUCCUCCGGCCGGCAAGGCCGCCGCGGCACCGGAGAUGGGGCUGAAUCUUUUCAUUCGCUUCGUGGCGCUGAUGGAGAGGCUUGGCGACGCCUUGGGCACGCUGGCCUUCACCUGGGCCACCGUCGUCCUGCUCGGCGGCUACGCCAACUCCAACGACCUUGGCUCGGAUUUCGGGGCGUCCAAAAAAGCGGUGCGCUAA
rnacentral:rRNA from 1 species